rnacentral:rRNA from 1 species
UACGUAGGGUGCAAGCGUUAAUCGGAAUUACUGGGCGUAAAGCGUGCGCAGGCGGUUUUGUAAGUCUGUCGUGAAAUCCCCGGGCUCAACCUGGGAAAUGCGAUGGAGACUGCAAGGCUAGAAUCUGGCAGAGGGGGGUAGAAUUCCACGUGUAGCAGUGAAAUGCGUAGAGAUGUGGAGGAACACCGAUGGCGAAGGCAGCCCCCUGGGUCAAGAUUGACGCUCAUGCACGAAAGCGUGGGGAGCAAACAGG